rnacentral:rRNA from 1 species
CCUACGGGGGGCAGCAGUGGGGAAUAUUGGACAAUGGGGGGAACCCUGAUCCAGCCAUGCCGCGUGUGUGAAGAAGGCCCUCGGGUUGUAAAGCACUUUCAGUGAGGAAGAACGCCUGGUGGUUAAUACCCAUCAGGAAAGACAUCACUCACAGAAGAAGCACCGGCUAACUCCGUGCCAGCAGCCGCGGUAAUACGGAGGGUGCGAGCGUUAAUCGGAAUUACUGGGCAUAAAGCGCGCGUAGGUGGCUUGAUAAGCCGGUUGUGAAAGCCCCGGGCUCAACCUGGGAACGGCAUCCGGAACUGUCAAGCUAGAGUGCAGGAGAGGAAGGUAGAAUUCCCGGUGUAGCGGUGAAAUGCGUAGAGAUCGGGAGGAAUACCAGUGGCGAAGGCGGCCUUCUGGACUGACACUGACACUGAGGUGCGAAAGCGUGGGUAGCAAACAGGAUUAGAUACCCCUGUAGUC